CCUACGGGGGCUGUAGUGGGGAAUAUUGGACAAUGGGCGAAAGCCUGAUCCAGCCAUGCCGCGUGUGUGAAGAAGGCCUUCGGGUUGUAAAGCACUUUCAGUGGGGAAGAAAGCCUUGGGGCUAAUACCCUCGAGGAAGGACAUCACCCACAGAAGAAGCACCGGCUAACUCCGUGCCAGCAGCCGCGGUAAUACGGAGGGUGCGAGCGUUAAUCGGAAUUACUGGGCGUAAAGCGCGCGUAGGCGGUCUGAUAAGCCGGUUGUGAAAGCCCCGGGCUCAACCUGGGAACGGCAUCCGGAACUGUCAGGCUAGAGUGCAGGAGAGGAAGGUAGAAUUCCCGGUGUAGCGGUGAAAUGCGUAGAGAUCGGGAGGAAUACCAGUGGCGAAGGCGGCCUUCUGGACUGACACUGACGCUGAGGUGCGAAAGCGUGGGUAGCAAACAGGAUUAGAUACCCGAGUAGUC
rnacentral:rRNA from 1 species